CCAGCAGCCGCGGUAAUUCCAGCUCCAGUAAGCAGCGCCAACGUUGUUGCAGUUAAAAAGCUCGUAGUUGGAUUUCUGUUGAGAGGGUUGUGGUGGAAACACUACUGACUUGAUAAUCUCAACUUGUUUGGGAAGGUGUGCCUGAUGUGGCAACACAUUGGGGUUCCCGCGCCUUCUCAUCUUUCACUGUGAAAAAAUUGGAGUGUUCAAAGCAGGCUUUAAGCCUGAACACAUUAGCAUGGAAUGAUAAGAUAUGACGAUGUGUCUAUUUUGUUGGUUGCGUCACGUCGUAAUGAUUAAUAGGGACAGUUGGGGGUAUUCAUAUUCAGUAGUCAGAGGUGAAA
rnacentral:rRNA from 1 species